rfam:Gossypium arboreum cultivar AKA8401 contig_64621_1, whole genome shotgun sequence.
AAACCAUGCUUUGGACAUUUCUAUAGGAAUUCCUUGAAUCGCUCCCAAGCUUCAUAUGACAUCUCUUCCUCUGAUUGUCGAAAAGAUGUAAUACUAUUUUGUAACUUC